CGCAGGGAGCAAGCGUUGUCCGGAUUCACUGGGUGUAAAGGGUGCGUAGGCGGGACAAUAAGUCAGUGGUGAAAUCUUACGGCUCAACCGUGAAACUGCCAUUGAUACUGUUGUUCUUGAGUUCGGGAGAGGUUGAUGGAAUUCCAGGUGUAGCGGUGAAAUGCGUAGAUAUCUGGAAGAACACCAGUGGCGAAGGCGGUCAACUGGCCCGAAACUGACGCUGAGGCACGAAAGCGUGGGUAGCGAACAGGAUUAGAUACCCUGGUAGUCCACGCCCUAAACGAUGAAUGCUUGGUGUUGGCCGGAAACGGUCAGUGCCGGAGGUAACCUGGUAAGCAAUUCCACCUGGGGAUACGCUCGCAAGGGUG
rnacentral:rRNA from 1 species